rnacentral:rRNA from 1 species
CCUACGGGAGGCAGCAGUGAGGAAUAUUGGUCAAUGGACGAGAGUCUGAACCAGCCAAGUAGCGUGAAGGAUGACUGCCCUAUGGGUUGUAAACUUCUUUUAUAUGGGAAUAAAAUGUUCCACGUGUGGGAUUUUGUAUGUACCAUAUGAAUAAGGAUCGGCUAACUCCGUGCCAGCAGCCGCGGUAAUACGGAGGAUCCGAGCGUUAUCCGGAUUUAUUGGGUUUAAAGGGAGCGUAGGUGGAUUGUUAAGUCAGUUGUGAAAGUUUGCGGCUCAACCGUAAAAUUGCAGUUGAAACUGGCAGUCUUGAGUACAGUAGAGGUGGGCGGAAUGCGUGGUGUAGCGGUGAAAUGCUUAGAUAUCACGAAGAACUCUGAUUGCGAAGGCAGUUCACUGGACUGCAACUGACACUGAGGCUCGAAAGUGUGGGUAUCAAACAGGAUUAGAUACCCUAGUAGUC